UCCGCGGCAACUGCCACCUCCCGUCAUCCCGCCUUAUCUCCCCCCGCCCAUCAUCACCGCCACCAAGGGAGCACGGAACGUGACUCUGCAGGACUUGAGGUUGUUCUGCAGUUACUAGUCACAGAACUGGAGACGAGGUGUGGGCAGGACAGAGUGCGGGUGAGAAAGGACAUGGGGACAACAGUAACGGCUGUGCAAGAAGGGGCGGGGCAGAGUGUGGCGGAAAGCCGGAGCUCGCGUCACGUCGAGCCGCGCGGGAAGAAGAGCGCAUGCGCAUGACACCUCGCCCGGUUGAUGAAGUUUGGUGCUUGGACUGCUUGGCCAGGCUGGACUUGGGCGGGAAGGGGGCGGGGCGAGAGCCCGCAAGUGGGGGCGGAGUCGGCCAGGGGCAGUCUCGCCCGGUCCCCUUGGUUUUACUGUCGCAACAACCUGCCUCUUUGGAGUUCUGAAGAAGGUCUAAGCUGGUCCACUCUCUGGAUUCGAGUCCUGGUGAGAAGCAGUUCUGGAAGCACCAAGGCCUGUGUUCACCCGUUCCUACGCUGAGAGCUCUGUAGCAGUACUAGAAGAAGGCUGCUUACUUUUCUCGCUGCAUCUCUCACGGAGGCAGGACCUUCCUUGGGUCUGAAAAGAGACUACAGUAAGCUCUCCUCCCCCUCCCGCCCCCAGGACAGCUCUGUUCUACACGCAUUGUGCGAAGCCCUUGUCAAGUCUCAGUGUUAGUAUGCACCAGUCUGUGCCAUGGUUACCGUUCCCUGAGCAGCACAGAAGUCUUCCAGAGGUUAGAUGGCUAGAAAGUGAUAGGGGCUGAAUGCGAACCUUCCAGUCUGUAACACUAACCUGUGUUGCCACUAUCGUGUGCAGUCUCCUCUUGAACCUUUCCACACCUUCGAACAUUAGACUUACAGUUUCCAAAAUUACCCUGGUUUAUUUUUUUCUAAAUGUAUUGGUCAGACAUGUUCUUGACUUAAAACUGAAUGCAAAAGGAGCUACUACUAAUUUUUGUUCAUAUGCCAUCUACUUAAUGACGUGUUCUAGAAUUUUGCCAGGGCUUUGGAUGACUUUGCAACCUUUGUUUUUUUCCCCUUUUAUUGAAAACUGGAACUUAGUCUGCAGUCUUCUGGAAUAUCUUCUUUGAUACUGAGCUGCUAAAAUCCUUGGAAUUUUCAUAUGUGAUAAGAGUACUAGGAGGCUCUUUUGUUAUAAUAUUUGACCUUUAACCUUAGUUCCUGCCACAAGGCCACAAAAACCCUUGGCAUUUCCUGGGUGAUAGGAAUGUGAUUUCUUCUAAUGAACAACUUUGUGUGGGCUGCUAGACAGCUUCUGAAUGGGAGCUGGUCGUUGAAAAGAUCAAGCCACGAUUAGAAAGUUGGAAUUUUUUAGCAUCUCCCUCCCACGCCUUUCCUUGUGGGAAGGCUUCCCUUGUGGCUCAGCUGGUAAAGAAUCCACCUGGAAUGCGGAAGACCUGGAUUUGAUCCCCUGGAGAAGGGAAAGGCUACCCACUCCAGUAUUCUGGCAUGGAGAAUUCCAUGGACUAUACUCCGUAGGUUUGCAAAGAGUCGGACACUACUGAGCGACUUUCAUUUCACUCUCAUGCCACCCCUUACCCUUGCCAUUAUAUUGAGAUGAGAGAAGGGUUGAAAAUGGAGCUAAUGAUAAAUCAUGCUUAGGUGAUGAAGCAUCCUUUAAAAUUCCAACAAAAUGGGGUUCAGAGAGCUUCCAGGUUGGUGAAUACAUCCACACACCAGGAGGGACCACACCCUCAACUCAGGAAAACAGAAGCUCCUAUGCUUGGGACCUACCCCCUCACCCAAUGCCUCCCCCCCCUCCAUAUCCCUCACCCCAGGCCUCAACCUCUGUAUAUCAUCUGGCAUUCAUCUGUAUCCUUUAAUAGACUGAUAAACAUAGAUUGUGUCAAAAUUGAGUUAAAUUGUAGGACAACCAGCUGGUAUCCCAGAGAACUGCUUGGUGGGAGAAAACACCCAUGCAUUUGGUGUCAGAGGAUAUAUCAGGUCACAGGAGAGAGGAGACUGGUUCUCAAGAAAGAACAAAAAAACUUGGAAGUAAAACACUGAGGACAAUGCAGAAGUACAAGAAGCAUGUAAAAUUAAUAUGGAGUAUUUCCUGAAGGUAGGUUUUGAAGGGAACCAGGAGAGAGGAACCCCUGAUUUAGGGGUCAUAUGUCCUUCUCUACUUGAAGUAGAACCAAGCUCAAACAGGAAUAUUUCUAAUCUUUAUCAUCUAAACUGGGCCUGGUGCCAGCAGUUUGGAUGCUGCUCCUGAUUGCAGUUACCAGGUUUCACACACUCCAGUCAAACCCUUUAAAGCAUCUCCUCCUCAUGUAGGAGCAGUUAAGAAGUACUUUGGGGAAAACAAUUGAAAACUAAUACCUCCAAAUCAAAACUAUAACCUCAUCAUAAUUCCUUUAUCUCUUUUGAAAUGGGUUUUAAACCAGAACAACUAUUUCUAAUUUUUAGAAAUAUUUUAAAUAAUUGUCAGUAAUAGUCUUUACUAAUCAUGAAGAGAGAAACACAUCGAUUAGUCUAUUUGAAAGUAUCAUUUCUGAUCUUUUGCUCAGUAUGUGAGUUGCUGUUUUCCACCUUAUUUUGUGACAAAGAUGUGGUACACAUGUUCCCCACCCCCAUGCCCCCCAAACCAAUACUAGACUCCUCUAGAAUAGUGGAAGAACAGAAGUUAAAGGCAACCCUACACUCCCAGCAAACACUCAUCAGGUAUCACCUGGAAACUGUUCAAGGCAAAAAACAAAACUUUUUAAGGGGCCACGAGCUUCUUGGAGUUAAUAAUCCAUUCUGCCUGCUGCCUCCCAGUUAUUUCACUGCUGUAUGACAAUCACCUCUGCACUGUAUCAUGCACUGAUUUCAUUCCUGGUAACUGUUAAAGGACUGACCUUUUCAGAUGAUUGGCACUUCUAAAUAGAUCCAUUUGAGGUCACGUCUGGGGGAAUAUCAAGCUUGCAUUCUCACAUGCUGUCUUGAGUGGGUGAAAAACAAUUGGAAUUUCUGACAGAGUUGAGUUGAUGUAUGAAAUGGAUCCUGUUACUCAGCUACAACCCAGAGUGAGGCCAAUGUUUCAAGAAAAACAUUUGAUUUGCAUUUUUCUGGGCUUUGUCAAUACCUGGAAACCAGAGGCAGUUUGUUCCAAGGAAGAGAUCACGGAUGGUUGGUCUGAGGAACACAGAGACUCCAGAUUCAUUUCCCCGCCUUCAGCUUGGGGUGCCACGUCUUCCUUAUCAACCCACCAAAGUCUGCAGAAGUCUUUUAUUACCAGCUCAAAUGCCUCUUCCUCCUUGAAACCUGAGUCAUUGUCAGCACUGGUUCGUUCGUCUUUGCCUUGGAAUUCAUUGUGGUACGGCUGUCCCUAGUGCUACUCCUUUGCCUAUCUCUCAGUUCCACCUCACCCCCAGCAGUAUCCUGAGAGACCCCAGUGGAGUAUGAACAGCUGCUGGAUGCAGUAGAUGUGAGCAGCCACAGAGGAAAUCGAAGUCUCAGUGAAAUCCUAUAUGGAAACCCAGGCAGGCUGUGGAAUCGAAAUUAAGAAAGGUAGAAAAAAAAAGUAAAAUGUUGAAGAUUUAACCUGAUAAAUUUUGAGCAAAAGAAGAAAGAAACAUGAUAUAGUGGAUAAGGCAGAACUUUGGGCUCAAAUCUGAGUGAAGUUUACAGAGUCCACUCAAACAGAUCCCUAGAGAAGAGAUAGAGCCAAGAAAAUGUUACUUGAUUGUAGAUUUUACAAGAUUGAACCAAGAGGGCCAAGUGUGGGGUAAUGGAAAAUAAAAUAGGCACUCCAAGAAUAAUACAUUGUUUUCCCAUUUAAAAAGUAAGGAAGCACAAUCUGAAAAGUAUGGAAAAGUGCAAGUUUAGAUCUGUGUUCAGAGACGCCAUGGCAUAUCAUUAUGUGCACACUCAAGAUCCUCAUGCCUUGAGUUCAGCUGCCAGCUCUGCCACAAAGUUCUGUGGCAAUUCUUUAAUCUCUCGAUGCAUAAGUUCCCCCAUCUGACAAAUGGGAAAUGAUUAAUGGCCACCUCAUGGUAUUCUUGUAAAGACUGGAGGAGUUGCCAGCAAUGGUGCCUGGUACAUAGUGAGUACCAUGUUAUUUUAUUACAUGUAAAAUUUGAAAGUUCUCCUUGGUGAUUUAUUUGGAAUAAAUAAACUUUAGGAAUAACCUUAUCAAAUCUUUCACAAAUGAUGAAACACAAUGUCAUUAUGUGACCUUUAUAAGCCAUUUGAAUUGCAUUUUAUUAUCUGCCAGUCUCUUUAGGUCAUUUUUAAAUGACUUCAUGUAUUUAAAUCUUGUCUUCCAGUAUGACUCUUGCAUGCAGGAAGUUCUAUCUUAACCUUAUGUGACACUAACAGUGUGAGGCACAUGUAUCAGAGCUUAAUAAUACCUGUUAGUUCCUUUAAGAUGCAAAAUUUAAGUGUAUCCCAAUGACAGUCAUUUACACAUUAGCAAUGAUAAGUUUCUUUCUUUCUUUCUUUUUAAGUAUUUAUUUAUUUGGCUGCACCAGGUGUUAGUUGUGGCACUUAGGAUCUUCAGUCUUCCUUGUGGCAUGCGAACUCAGUUGUGGCAUGUAGGAUCUAGUUCCCAGACCAGGGUUCAAACCCAGGGCA